ACUUAAAAAGCUUUCUAGGAUUAACAUCGAUAGAAAACGAGUAAUCCUAUUGCAUGAACAACAAAUUAUUAAAAUGCAAAAAAGAGUUAGAUGAGUUAAAACUUGAAAAUUAAUCCUUAGACCUAAUCUACUCUUGUAGCUCAUGUAAUUUCUCGAAAGAUAAUUUAUGUCAACCUAAUGUAUGCGAUACUUGCGAAACGUUGCAAAAUGAAAAUUCAAAUUUAAAAGAAAAACUCGCAAAGCUUACAUACAGUAGAUUUAACCUUGACACUUUACUUGCUGAAUCUAGAAAUCCACAUGGGAUUAGGUUAUAAACCACAAACUAGCAAGAAAAGACCAUACAGGAAACCUGUAGUAUAUAAUCGUAAAAAGUUACACACUCACAUACCUACUUGUUUCUAUUGCGGCACUUAUGGCCAUACUUAUACUUCAUAUUAUAUUAGAAAAUAUGGUGUGACGGAUGGUUUUUACAUUUGGGUGAAGAAGGGACAAAAUACCAUGGUUGCUAACAAAAAGGGACCCAAUAACAAUUGGGUACCUAAACAGGUCAAGUAAUUUGUUUUGCAGGUAUGCCUACGUACGCAUGGACAUCAUUGGUACUUAGAUAGCGAUGUUCGAGGCAUAUGACAGUUGAUAGAUCGAAAUUCCUAGAUCUAUCACUCAAAGAAAAAGGGUAUGUCACUGAUGGCGACAACAAUCAAGGGAAAAUACUUGGAGUUGGAACUAUUGGUAAUGCUUCUCAAGUUGUGAUAGAGAAUGUGCUCUAUGUGGAAGGUUUGGAGCACAACUUGUUAAGCAUCAGUCAAUUGUGCAAUAAAGGUAACAAAUUAUCCUUCGAUUCUAAUUGUUGCAUUAUUCGUGAAUGUUUAUCUAAUAAUGUUAAGUUCGUUGGUCAUCGUAUAAAUAACAUAUACAUGGUUAAUUUGGAGGAUGUCACUACAUUGUUCUAAAAAUUAUUUAUCUCUAGAGAGAAUGACAUUUGGCUUUGGCAUAGGCACACUGAACAUAUACACAUUAAACACUUAGAUAAAUUGUCUUUACAUGAUUUAGUUGUUGGUCUACCUAAACUUAAUUUCAAAUCUAAAGAAGCUUGCGACACUUGCCAAAAGUGUAAGCAAGUUAAGAACUCAUUUGCAACUAAAAAUGUAAUCUCCACAACUCGGCCUUUAGAGCUUCUCCAUAUGGACCUAUUUGGACCAUCACAAAUCUUGAGUUUUGGAGGUAGUUACUAUACCUUAGUAUUUGUAGAUGAUUUUUCUAGUUUCACAUGGACCAUGUUCCUUUCUGCUAAAAGUGACGCAUUUAAAUCCUUUAAGAGACUUGUCAAGCAAAUCCAGAACCAACUUAACCUAAAAAUUGUAUAUAUAUGAAAUGACCAUGGUGGUGAGUUUGAGAACCACUUGUUCGAAAAAUUUUGCGAUAAAUAUUGUAUCAUGCACCAAUACUCUGCUCUUACAACUCCUCAACAAAAUGGAGUUGUUGAGAGGAAAAAUGAUGUAUUAGAAGAGCUGGCCAGGACUACGCUUAAUGAAAGCAAAGUACCUAAAUACGUUUGGGCCGAUGCCGUACAUAUGGCUUCCUAUGUUAUAAAUAGAGUACUUCUUUGACCAAAACUGUUAAAAACUCCUUAUGAGUUAUUAAGAGGCCGAAAAUCCAAUAUAUCUCAUCUUCAUGCCUUUGGAUGCAAAUGUUUCAUUUUGAACAGUGGAAAAUGAGCUUUAGGAAAAUUUGAUUCAAAGGUUGGCGAAGGUAUAUUCUUAGGGUAUUUGAUGCAUAGUAAAACAUUUAGAGUUUUUAAUAAAUACACUAUCAUUGUAGAAGAAUCGAUUCAUGUGCAUUUUGAUGAAUCUUCUCCAAAAGAGAAGAGAAAAGUUUUGUCUAAUGAUGUUAUAGGUGCUUUGGAAGAAGCAUAAUAUAAGGACAUGGAAAAGGACAAAGAAGAUAAAGAUGAUCAAGAAGUCAAUGAGGACCAUCAUGACUUGCCGAGGACGUGGAAAACCAAGAAAUACCAUCCACUCGAUAAAGUAUUAGGUGAUAUCUCUACAGGGAUGGUAACCCGUAGCUCUUUGCAUAACUUUUGUAAUUCCGUUGCUUUUGUAUCACUUGUGGCCAAGGGAUACAACCAAGAGGAAGGUAUCGAUUACGAUGAAACUUACGCCCCUGUUGCGAGGUUAGAGGCCAUAUGGAUGCUAUUGGCAUUUGCAUCAAUUAUGAAUUUUAAGUUGUUCGAAAUGGAUGUUAAGAGAUCCUUUUUGAAUGAAUUCAUUCAAGAGGAGGUGUGCAUUGAGCAACCACCCGACUUUGAAAAUUAUAAAUUUCGGAACCAUGUCUAUAAGCUUACAAAGGCACUUUACGGCCUAAAGCAAGCUCCUCAAGCUUGGUAUGAUCGGUAUGAUCGACUGAGCACUUUUCUCUUAGAAAAGGGGUUCGUUAGGGGCAAAGUCGACACAACGCUCUUUAUCCAAAAAUCAAAUAAUCAUGUUUUACUAGUUUAAAUAUAUGUUGAUGAUAUUAUCUUUGGAGCUACUAAUGACCUCCUUUGCAAGAAAUUUUCUGAUUUGAUGCAGGGCGAAUUUGAAAUCUCAAUGAUGGGAAAGCUUGCCUUCUUCUUGGGAUUACAAAUUAAGAAAAUGGACAACGACAUAUUUGUUCAUCAAUCAAAAUACUGCAAAGUAUUGCUAAGCAAAUUAGAGAUGGAAAAAUGCAAAGAAGCAUCCACUUGUAUGACAUCCUCAUGCUAUUUAGACAAUGAUGAUAACGGGAAAGGGGUAGAGGUAACCAAAUAUCAUGACAUGAUAGGCUCGUUAUUAUAUUUAACCGUGAGUCGUCCUGAUAUUAUGUUUAGUGUUUGUAUGUGUGCUAGAUAUCAAUAUAUGCCUAAGGAAUCACACUUUACUUCUGUUAAAUGUAUCAUGAGAUAUUUAAAGGAACCCUUAAUAUGAGACUAUGGUAUCCUAGGGAUGUCCUACUUUCCUUGGUAGGUUAUUCCGAUUCUGACUUUGCUGGGUGUAAACUAGAUCGGAAAAGCACUACUGGUACUUGCCACCUAUUAGGCAGCUCCUUAGUGUCAUGGCAUAGCAAAAAGCAAGCUUGUGCUUCUUUAUCCACCACCAAAGCGGAAUACAUUACCGUCGGUAUGUGUUGCGCUCAAAUCCUUUGGAUGAAGCAACAAGUUAUGUACUUCGGUCUCUCUUUGGAAAAGAUACCGAUAAAAUACCAAAAUACAAGCGCUAUAAACCUAUCCAAGAAUCUCAUUCUGCAUUCUAGAACUAAGCAUAUAGAGAUAAGACAUCAUUUUUUGCGUGAUCAUGUUCAAAAAGUUGAUUGUAUACUUGAAUUUGUUGAAACCACUAAACAACUAGCUGAUAUUUUCACCAAGCCCCUUCCACGGGACUCGUUCUUUGUUCUUAGAAGAUAACUUGGAAUUAUUUAUGAAAAAUAUCUUAACUAGCUUAAUUAAUGGUGUUUUUGUGCCUUUUGCAUGAUAAAUGUGUUCAUCUAUAUGUUAUAUGUAAAUACAUGCUUCCCUUUGUGCUUAAUAAUUUGCCUUCAUGAUUACAUGCUUAAGUGUUAGAAGUGUGUAAUCCUGUCUAGAAUAGGUUCUUAGGUUAAGAGUCUUAGCAUACUAUGUUAAUCUCAAAAACACACUCAAAUGUGCAAUUUUACUAAUGUUAAUCGAUUACCAUGGAUGAUAAUUGAUUAAACUGAGUUCCAGUAGCUGAACACUUUUCAAAAUCUCUAUCUUCAUCGAUUAAGUAUUCCUUUAAUCGAUUAACUAGGCUUAGUUUCAUAAGAUUUUAAUAGAUCUUAAUCGAUUAACGUAAGGCUUGAUCGAUUAAAGACAGUAAUAUAAAAUAGAUUCAAUGUGCUUCUGGGAAAGUUUUUCAAACCCUAAAAUCUCAAUUCCUACCUUUUCUCUUUCUAGUUGUGAAAUUGAUCUUUUUCUUCAGUUUAGUAAUCCAAAACAAGUGUCCUUAAGUCUUGUUGGCUGCCUAUUAGCCUCCAACCAUCAAGAAAUCCAAAAAUCCAUUUAUCCCCAAACCUAAAACCCAAACCAAAAAUCACCCCAAAUCGAUUAUAGUUUCCCAAUCUCACAACAAUGGUUGAUGGUAAACAAAAGAGAGUUAAGACUACUGGAAAUCAUCCUAGAAGAUAUGAAAUCGACUCUGUUUCGGCCAUGGUGAUAGGAGGGAUCGAGGUGACCCCUACUACUCACUGAUUUUGCAAGAAACUCGCCUGACUAAGUUUCAAGGGAGGAAACCAACCUAUAUUCUAUAUGUGGAUAUGGCUUGGAUGCUAUCUCAAGGAUUUGAGUUUCCACACGAAUUGGAAGUUCUGGGUGUGACCCAGUUUCUAGAGCUUCAUGGUAAUGUAUACCCUGCUCUCGUUAGGAAAUUUUAUGCAAAUUUUAGAUAUAAAGACUGAACUUAUCUGUCUAUGGUUGUGGGAAAACUAGUUGAGUUGAAUGAAGAACUGUUUCUAGAUGUGGGUGGAUUGGCUAGUGAUGGAUGUUGCCUUGGAGACUGCACAAAUGAUUUAUGGAACUCAUUCGAUGCGACUGAAAUGUACAAAUCGUGUCUCAGGAGACCUCAUAUGUAUGUGCAAGGUGAGCUAACUAAAGCUGGAUUAUUAUCUAUUGAGAAUCGUCUUCUUCAUUACAUUGUUGCGUAUAUUCUGGUUCAAAGGAAUACAAACCAUGCUCAGCCUACUAUAAAUGACCUGAAAUUCAUGUUUGUUGUCCAAGAAAAUGUAAGGAUCAAAUGCCCUGAAGAGAUUCUGAAGGUUAUGAAUGACAUCUCAACCUCAUCGAACAAGCUGCUUGCAUAUGGUAUAUUCAUAUCGCGUAUCAUUGACCAUCCAUAUAUAGAUACAUCAGAUACGUUGAUCAUUACAACGAACUCUCGUGAGCACUUGAUUGGAGAUAAUCUUAUCCACAAAAUAGGUUUUUACAAGUACAACAAUGCCUGGGAAUAUCAGGAGGAUCAUAACACUAUUGUGGAUUUGGACUUAUUUGAUGAGUAUGUUCCCAUGAAUUAAUCGAUUCUAGAAAAUNNNNNNNNNNNNNNNNNNNNNNNNNNNNNNNNNNNNNNNNNNNNNNNNNNNNNNNNNNNNNNNNNNNNNNNNNNNNNNNNNNNNNNNNNNNNNNNNNNNNGGAGGCUUCUGCUAUGCCUCAAGAACCUUCAUUCGGGAUAGCUCAGUUAGAUGAUAUGAAACAUAGGCUCAAUGCUCGCAUUGACACACAUUAUGAGUCUCUAAGGAACAUGCUUCAUUCUGGGUUUGAGAGGCAAAAUGAUCGACUAAAUGAAAGAAUCAACCGUUUGGAUUUCCUCAUCCGGACCACUCAUGACAUAUUGCAUCCUCAAGCAAGAAGUCCUCCUUCACCAUCUUAGGGUUAGUCUAGGAGUGUCUAGCCUAUAGGGUGUUAUAUUUUGUCGUCCAAUAUUGUGUUUUGGGUCUUGUACUUUUUGUUAUGUUUGUACUUGUUUCUUUCAUUUUUCAAAAUAUCAUGCUUGGUUGGACUAUUUCUAAUUAUGUCGAAUGGUUUAGGAAUGUUUGGUUUUAUGAAUAUCUUGACCAUAUCUUUCGUGUAUGCCAUCUACAUUGGAUUAAUAAAUGUUUAACCUGACUAUAUCAGAACUGCUAAUCAUUCUAAAACUGAUUGAAUAUUUACAUGUUGAAUGUGUCAUAUAAACCUUGUUCAUAUUCUGUUUUUUUGUCAAUUUAAUCGAUUAAGUACCAUUGAUAAUCGAUUAAAUGCAGAGAUUAUGUGCAUUUGUUCAAUUUUUCAAAAACUGUUUAAUCACAUUAAAGCUUGUACUUUCUGACUAAUUAUAGUUUAUUACCACAAACUUUAUAUCUCUUCUUACUUUUGACCAACUAUUAUCACUUAAUUGUCUACACUUUUUGAUCAUAUCAAAAGGGGGAGAAAUGUUGUUUUUUUUGUCGUUUGAUGUGUUUUAGGUUGAUGAGCUUCCGUACGUAAGUUUGCUAGCUACUUGUAUGACUUUCACCUCAUAGCUUGGUUGAGGGGGAGAACAAAGUAAGGUGUAGCAUCACAACUUUGACAUAUAACCAACCUAAGCAAAGAGUCAAGACUUGCACAUCAAAAAUUGGUGAAGUGUUUGUCAUCAUCAAAAAGGGGAGAUUGAAAGUGCAAAGAGUCAAGACCUGCACAUUUAUGGCUAACCGAACUUUUGAUGAAGCAAACACAAAUACAAGAAAGUUUGAAGAUCGUACAACAAACAAUGACCCGAAGAAUCAUAGGUUGCAUCUAUAGAGUAGGACUUUAUUAUUUUUACUUGUAAUUAGAAGUCUUAAGAUGUGUGCCUUAGUUUGAGUCUAGGUUAGGUAAACUUAGGUGGAAAGUCUCACAAGAGCUAAUAUAGAACAAGAUUAAAAUUGAGACAUAUCAUCUAGAUACCUUAUGAUAAUUAGACUCAUGCAUACAUAUAUAUAGUGUCAUGCAUUAAAAGUAAUAUAUUUUGAAAAACUAUGUAAAGCAUGUGCAUAUCAUAAAGGUAAUUUACCAUACAUUCCUUACAUCAAAGAAAAACAUUUUUAACUCAGCAUAAUCGAUUAUCUAGAAUUCUGUUAUUAACCGAUCUGAUUCUAUUAGCAUGUUAAUCAAUUAAGUCACCGUAUAAUCGAUUAAGACGUAAUUGAAAACUGAUUUUUAACCGCCCGUUAAUUGAUUAAAUGGAAGGAUAAUCAAUUAAUAUCAGUAUCAGUAUGUUUAGUAUAAAUUCUGCAUUUCUUGCCAAUGUGGCAUAACUUGCAUUUUUUGAAAAGUUUUAGAGAGCAUACAUUUUCAUAGAUUGCUUUACAGUGAGAAUUUGCAUUUAGAAAAAUUAGGGAGUGAAAGCAUUAUGAUUUAACAUCAUUGCAUCUAGGCUCUAGUUUUCUAUGCAUCAAUUUCUUGCAUGUUAUUCUGGAUUUCUUUGAGUGAUUUGUGAGGAAAAUCGGUUUCUACAAAGAAUGUUAAACAUUUUUUAAAUCCUAAUGCAUUAAUUUCAUUAAGAAUUAGGAUCUUGUGAAUUUUCUGCUUUAUGUUUUAGAUUGAGUUUCAAUUUUUGAAUUCGAGUAUUAAGAACUCAAGUCAACUUAAUAUAUUCUGUUUGAACAAGGAAGUUGAUCUCUUUGUGAAUUGCUUUACUACGAGAGAGAUCUUUGUGAUCUUCACAGAGGCUAAGAGGUCUUAGUUCGAGUGAUACCAAGGAUAGGGCCGAUCACGAAAGGAUAUGAGAUCUUAGUAAGCGAUUUAGUUAGGUCUAACCUAGGUUGUCAAGCUCAUAGGGUCUAAGUAAAGAUCGACUUAGUUUUUCUGAUUUUGUAAUUGGUAAUGUGGUUGUAAAACUCAGCAAUUGCAAUAGUUGAAGAAAAAUAUCCUGAGAUCAGAAAAGGAGGCCUGGAUGUAAUUUGUAGUGGACCACAAACGAACUAGGAUAAAAUUCAUUGUGCACCUCUUUACUUUUCUGUCUUUACUAGAGGUGUCAAAACGGGCCAGCCUGGUUGGGCUGGCCCGCCAAAGCCCGAAAAUUUGUAGGGCUUGGAUAUCAUUUUAGACACUUUUUAUUGCAUCUAGGCUUUUUAGUCCGGUUGGUCUAUAUGAAAAUCGAGCUCAGGCAGGGCUUACCCGGGCGGGCUCAGGCUACUUAUUUUUCUUUAUUUUUUAAUCUUUUUUGGAAAUUUUGGCUUGGUAAUAAGCCUUAGGUAAAAAUUAUUUUACAAAACAACUUAUAAUGAAAAAUAGAUAAUAAAUAUUAUGUUAUAAAUUGUGAAUAAAAAAUAGAGUAAUGUCUAUACCAUAAAUAUUUAUAAAUUACAAUAAUGUUAUAAAGUUAAACAUUAUAUUAUUUUUCCUAUUUUGCAUAAUAUACUUUUAAGCCCAAUAAAAAAUAAUGUAUCAAAUCAAAUUAGAAGUCAUUAAACAAUAUAGAUUUCACUUUUCUUUUCUUAAUUGUGUACCUAAUUAGAUUUAACUUCCACAACAAAAACAUAAUAAAGAAAAUAACUUUUGCAACAAAAUUAAAAAACAACAUAAUUUUACCCCAUAGAGAACUCCAUGCAACCAAGUUUAAUAUAAUAGUUCAUAAUAAAAGUGUUGAUAAGGAACAUACAAAAAAUAAUAUUUUUGAUAGUUCCAAAAAGUUUAUAUAUUAUAGUGAAGUCCAAAUUAUAUUGUGUUAUAAAGCGAGAGUCCAAUAAAAAUGAGAUAUUUAAUAAAUGAGUUAUGUUAAAAAUUAUAUAUGUGGACUUCACGUCUUAACUAAAAAAACAAGACAUUAAAUAUAUAAUUUUGGUUGUAUUGGGUAUAGGAAUUGUGUUAAAAAAGUAUACAUUAAUAUCAAAUUAUAUAUAUAUUAAAUAGAUUAAAUAAGUUAAAAUUUAAAUAAUUUUUUUAAUAUUAUGCGGGUCGGCCCACCACAACCCGCAACCCGCUUAGGGAGGGUUUGGGCUACAAUUUGAUAUGCAUAAAUUGUAUCUGGGCUUUUUAGCCCGACCCAAUUUAGCCCGUUUUGACACCUCUAGUCUUUACUUUGUUGAUUAAUUGUGUUAAUAUGAGUUGCAUGCUAUAAUCUGUCUACUUUUUUUUGUAAUCUCAUUAAUUAAUUAACUGUGUAAAGAUUUGGUUAUCAGUUUAAUCGAUUACUGAGCACUGUUUAAUCGAUUAAGUCCAAGCAGAAUCGAUUAACUGUAGUCUUGUUUUAGUUUUGCGCAAAUAUAGGAAAAUCGGAACAAGAUAUGCGCGACACCUAAUCAACCCCUUCUAGAUGUAUUCUGACCUUUUGAUAUCCAAAAGGAAGUACAUCAAAAGUAAAGUGAAGAAAGUAAUGUGACACUUCUAUCCUUUAAAAUAUAAUAAUAUGUCACUUUUCCCUUAAAAUUGAUACAAAAUCAACCAUCAUUAAUUUAGUUAUUUAAAAACUGAAUAUAUAAUGUGAUGCAAUAUUGACCGAGAUGCACGAAGUGCCUGUACACACUAGUAACAAUAAUAUCAAAAUAUAAAAUCUAAAUCUUAAAGAAAAUGUCAUGUUUGGAUAGAUAAGGAUAAUUAUUAGAAUAGUUAUGAGUAAUAAUUAUUCUUAUUGAUUCAAAUUCAAUAGUUGAUGAUAUCAAUUUAGUAAAGAAGUAAUAUUGAACAGAAAGUUCACAAUUGCAUUCUUUACGGAAAUGUGGAAAUUUAAUUUAGGAAAUUUCUGACACAACCAUUCAAUUAAUUCAGAUUGUUUAGAUUUUUAACUCUGUCGAAAUAAAUAAAAAGUUUAUUUCUAUAGAAAAAGCCUUUGCCAUAUAUUUGAGAACUUUUAGUUUCUUGAAUAGAUGUCGGGGAAAACGAUUUACUAAAUUGAAACCAUCAGCUAUUGAAUUAAUAAGAAUAGUAAUCACUCAUAACUAUUGAUUUAAACAUUAUAUUUUCUUUUAGCAUUAGAUUUUAUUAUUUGGCUAUUAUUGUUAUUCGAAAAAAUUAUAUUUUAUUACUUUUAUUUAUUAUUUAAUAGAAAUUGCUUCUACCAAAUACCAAUUUCCUAUUACUUUAUCAUAUAUUGAAAUUAUUAUUAAUUUACAUUAUUAUCAACAUGGUUCAAAUUAUGAAUAUUGUUUCAUUUACAUUAUAUAUGUUAAUUCAUUUAAAUUACAUAAUUGUGUUGGAAAUUAUAAUAAAAUAAAAUAUUUAAUAUUUGAACAUGGAAGAUUUAAAAUAUGUAUCAAGCACUGAUAUUAGAUUUUAGUCCAGUAGUUGAUUCUUUUUCCACAUAUCAAGGUCCAAUAUAUUAUAUUUAUAUUGAGAGAUAAAAUCAGCUGUACCAAUUUUGUUUUUAAACUGUAGACUCUGUUACUUUAAACCUACUUUUUCAUGAUAGUUUUGUUUUCUUUCUCUACAAUAAAAUGCAUAAUUAUUAUAAGAGUGUAACCGAUAAAUGAACAACUGCUUUUGUUGAAAAAUUGACACUUAGUAAUAAAUGGGGGGAGAAAUUUCAUACCUACAUAGCUGUCUCAAACAACACUUGGACUAAGUCAAACUUCUUCGUUUAGUACACAUGAUUGCUCCACAUACAUGAUAUGAAUCGUUGAAGAUUCAAGCCUAUUUCCCUAUAUAUAUUGCAAAGCACAUUGAGUCCAUACUUCACCAGCAACCUUCAAAAACAAGAACUCCCCAUUUAUACCAAUUUGCAUAACAUUAAGCCAUCAACAAUGACUACCACCCGUGUAGCUCUCUACCUUACCUUUGCAUUCUUCUUCUAUGGUAAUAUAUUUCAACUACGUUUUCCAUUCUACUACUUUAGAAUUGUAUGUGUGUUUCGAUUAUGUAAGAAAUAAAAUUCCCCUUGGUAAUGGGUAUACCUAUUAACCUACAUUAAAACAAUAAACUUCAAUGAGCUCAUGACUAUUAAUUUGUAUGCAGUGACUCAAGGAGCCAAAGUUACCUUCACAAACAGGUGCAGUUACACCGUGUGGCCAGGGACCUUAACUGGUGACCAAAAGCCUCAAUUAUCAACAACUGGUUUUGAGCUAGCAUCAGGUGCUUCCAACUCAGUGGACCUCCCAGCUCCAUGGUCUGGUCGCUUUUGGGCUAGGACUGGGUGCUCAAACAAUAACGGCAAAUUCAGUUGUGCCACCGCUGAUUGCGCCUCUGGUCUAGUUGAAUGCAAUGGUGCAGGUGCGAUCCCACCAGCAACUUUGAUAGAAAUCACAGUAGCAGAGAAUGGAGGACAAGACUUCUAUGAUGUGAGCAACGUGGAUGGGUUCAACGUGCCCAUGUCAGUGUCUCCACAAGGUGGUAGUGGAGAAUGCAAAACAUCAAGCUGUCCCGCGAAUAUCAAUGCAGUAUGUCCCACAGAGCUGCAACUCAAAGGGUCUGAUGGGAGUGUAAUUGCUUGCAAGAGUGCUUGCUUGGCAUUCAAUCAACCUCAAUAUUGUUGCACCGAAGACCAUAACACAGCAGCUACAUGCCCUCCAACUAACUACUCUCAAAUUUUUGAACAGCAAUGUCCUGAUGCUUACAGUUAUGCUUAUGAUGAUAAGAGCAGUACAUUUACUUGCAACGCUAGACCUGACUAUGCCAUCACAUUCUGUCCUUGAACUCCAUCUUUAACUUCCUAGCUCUCUAGGAAAUGGACAUUAAUUGUCAUAUCUACGUUACUUUGGGAGAAAAUAAGUGCAAUUGAAAUACACACAUACAUAUAUAUAGUAUGACCCGAAAAGAAUAAAUAAUCACUUCUAUCGAUGAUUGUAUUAAUUUAUCAUCUAAUAAAAUUUAUCAUACUUCUCUUAUUUUGGGUUAGAGGUGUGUUGGUUUACUAUUAACUGGAACUACAUUUGUCUCCCUUAACAAUCGGGACAUCACUUAAUUUGCACUCAUGCAUGUCAAAUAGUAUUGAUAUAGCUUCUUUGUGACAAUCCUAGAGUCUAGAUGAGUCUCGAAGUAUUUGGAUCCCUAAUACAUAAAAGGUGUCUCCAAUAAGUUUGUGAAAUUUCUUGAUAAAAAUAUAUUGGAUUUGUACAACAUGCCUAUAUUGUUAGUGGCAAGAAGUAUGUCAUUAACAUACAAUCCUAGGAAAAUGUACUUUCCCCCAAUAAGUUUGUGAUACACACACAUUCAUUAGCCACAUCCAUCUUAAACAAAAAAGAGAGAGUCACCUAAUGAAACUUACGGUACCACUGGCGAGACGUCUAUUUUAGCUAAGAUAAUUUGUCUAUUUGCAAAUCAUUUUCUUUGGUCUCCUAACACAAAGUUUUAUGGUUUCACCAUAUAAAUAGUUUUAUCAGUAUUUACAUAAAUGUUCUAUUGACAUCAAUCUAAUUAAGCUCCAAAUCAUAAUGUGCAAAAAGAUAGAGUCAUGAUUGUCCUAAAAAGGCCUUAAAUAAAACCAUAAAGAAAAUCUCCUUAAAUUUAAUAUAUUCCUUUUGAGUUUAUCUUUUUGUUAUAAAACGAGACUUAAUUUUUUCCAUUUUAUAUUUGGAAUUUCUUUUGAUCUUAAAUAUUCAUUUGCAACCAAUAUAUUUAGGAUCUUAUAGUAUCGGGUGAAGUUCCCAAAUUUUUUUCACUGCAUUAAUUAAUCCAUUUUUCUAAAUUGAAAUCAAGUAUGAUUUCAGGAAAAUUACUCAGAUCAUUUUGCAUCAUUCUUUCAUUUUCCUCAUGAUCUUAGUUAAAUACUAUAUAGUUAUCCAGAACAAUUAAUUCAUCUUGAGGAUCUUGAGUUCUAAUAAGCUAAUUCAUCUUGAACUAGAGUUUCAACAAAUUUGUCUUGAAGAAGUUUUGUACUAGCUUCAUCAGAAGUAUAUGUAUGAAUAGGCCAUUAAAUUAAACUCGAUUAUUCCGAUCCUCAAAGAAUAUAGAAGUUCUCGUAGCAUUUAAUUUAGAAUUAUAAAACUUAUAGUUAGAAAUAUUCUCUGUACAUUUCAUAAAGUUGGUAUCAUUAUUAUGAACCUUAAAGUCUGAAAAAGAACAAAAUAAACAAAUUAAAUAUCCCACUUUAUAUUUUAAGUUCAAAAAUAAUCAAAUUCAAAUAAUGACGAAAGUCACCCCAAAAUUCAUAGUACAAUAAUAAUGUUGAUUGUGUACGUCAAAUACUAACUCAUUUUUUGGAACAAUUUCUCACUCAAAUAUACAAUUUUAUAGUUAUCCUAUGUUUAUCAUUACAUGUGAGCAAAUAAUCUUGCUAGUUAUUAACUUUCCUUUUAGUAGAUUAAUAUUUUUUUGGUUUCCCACAAGUACGUGGAGCUAAUUCUCUCAGUGGACAUUUUUUCUAUUCACAAGACUUGAACUCGAAACAUUGUUUAAGGAAAAUCAAACAUGUACCACUUAAACCAAGUUCGUUUGUUCAGCAUAUUAAUAUGCUUAUACAUACUAAAAUUUAACAUUUCUCAUAUGCAAUAGUCACAAGAAAAGUCAAAUUCCUAACAUUUAACAUUUCUCGUAAGCAAUCUAGCUACCCAAUAAAAGUCAAUUUGAUGACAUCUUGUAUUAAUGGAGUCACAUAAAUUGUUAAAGAAUAAUAACCAUAAAUUUUUAUUCUUAUUGAUCCUCAUUACACUUAUUUUGAAAGCACACUAUUGGCAGUUUGAAACCGCGGGAAAUUUUUUUUACCGUCAUUAAAUUUGUCACAAUGAUUCUAAUCUCUCAUUAGAUGCGCACAUAAAAAACCAAAUAAAUCUAUUUGACAGUUUUGAAGCAUUAUUGGAGGCAGAGUUUAAAGUUUUAAAUAUCUAGCAUAACAUAAUAAAGGAUAUUCAUAUACUUAUAAUUUUUAUAUUUCAACUUUGCCAUUUUUAAAAUUUGACAAAUGAAAUCAAUAUUUUCAUUCUUCCCAUUCAGAAGGACUCAGACAUUUUGUAAUAAAAAAUUAAAGGCAUCAAAAUUGUGUGCCGAUUAACAUUGCUAUAGGUAAUACAAAAAGAUUAUCUAAUGUGACAUGUAUGUAUUACUUAAUGUUUUUAUUUUUCAAUCGAUAUGUAACAAAAAAAAUAUUGAUAUUAAUUGAUUGUGGUUAUUAGACUUAGAAAAUUCUGAAAACCUCAAUUUUAGCCCAAUUUGGAGCACAAUGAUCAUUAAAUUAGAGAUUUAGAUUCAAAAGUCGAUAACAGAUUAGGGUAGGUGUUAGUACUUCCUCUGCCAAUACAAAAUGAUACAUAUCUAAUUGCAUCGAUUUUUAUACCUUAAAUUAUUUAUUAAAAUAAAAUACAUUUUUUUAUUUUUGUAUCGGACAAAAGCUAAUCUUAUUUCUAAGUAUUCCUAAGUACACUAGAGAAUCAAGGCUAUAUACUUUUGGGUUUAGAAAUGAAUUACUUGGUUUGAGAGAUUUAUUUAAUUUAUUUUUUGGAAGAUGAUUUAGAAAUUAUUUUUUGUUUAUCCACUUUAAGAGAGUGAAAUAACAACACUUGUGUUUGCACCACAAGUCAAGUUAAAUGGAUGGAUUUUAUCAAUUUAUGCGAUACAAUAAUACUCAUGUUUGCACCACAACUAUAUCAAAAAGGAUGGAUUUUUUUUAUGUUAUACUUACCCAACUUAAGUGAGUAAAGCAGCGUCACCCAUAUUUACACCUUAACUCAACAUAAAGAGAUAAGUUUUUUUUAACUAAUUACCUUCUUAACCACUUUAAGUGAUGUAAACCCUCCUAGGGAAACCUUUGACCCCAAGGACAAGAGAAGUCAUGAAGGUCCUAUGACUAGGACCAAAGCCAAAUCAACAACCUUGAAGGUCUCAAAAGACUCAAUUGACCCUGGAGAUUACAUGAAGGAAGGACAUUCAUGUCCUUAGGUUACAUUUCAAUUUAGGUUUAUUUUAUUUGCAUUGAAUAAAAUAAAUGAAAUUGCAUUUUCAUAUAGUCUUAGGUUUAUUUUCAUUGAAGUAUUUUCAAUUCAAUAAAUCAUGGGAGGGUUGGGAAAUUAUUUAUUCAUUUGUAUCAUGGCCCAUUAAUGGCCAAGUAGUUUGUUUAGGCAAUGGAGUCACGACUAAGGCAAGUGUAACAUGGCUAGGACAAAGCUCAUUGGUACUACUAGUACAAUUGGAAUCAAGACAUGAUCAAACUCUUACAUGGCAUGAAUCAAGACAAGAUAGCAUGAUUCAAGGGAGUGUGCACGACUAUGCUUUUAUUUUUCAAAUGGAGUUGAUCAAAUACUCAAGAUAAAGCACAACUACACUUAAGGGAAUCAACCAGGUUGGGUUGAUAAGGCACAACUACAUUUAAGGAUUGAUAAGGCACGACUACACUUAAGGGAAAUCAACCAGCUUAUAUUAUGAAAAUCUAUUUCUAUUUUGCUUAAAGAUAAUGUGAAGAUUAGGUGAUUUGUUCAUCACAAAUUUUAGCCAUCAAAAAGUCCUAUGAUUAUGGAAUUCGGCCAAAAGAAUUCAAAAUCCUUCAAGGUAGGCGUGUCCAAGUUUAAGAGAUAAGGUAGAAGAUAGAUCUAAUCUUCAACCUCCAAAUCAGCCAUGGCCAAGUUUCAACAUAUUCCUAGUCAAAGAUCAACAUCUAACAAACUCAAAUGACAAGGAGAUUUCGGCUCAACCAAUUGAUAUUAGUUAGGAUUUUAUUCUUUUGUUUAUUAGAAUUAAAUUAGGUUUAGACUUAGUUCAUUUCUAUCUUUUCAGCAAGGUAAAUCUGCCUAUUUAUAUUUUGAAUGGUGAUUAAUAAAAGUUAAGUUUAUUUUUUAUAAAAAUCGGAUUUGUGUUUUUAGUAGAGAAUUAUUCUCCUAAACCUAACUUGGCCAUGGCCAACCUUUGUUCUUAUUAAGCAUCCUUGCUUGUGGUGGACCUCCAUAGACUUAUCAAGUUACCUUACUUGUGGCGUCACCCCCUUCCAUUCUUAAUCUAUCUUCACCUCCAUCAUACAAAUCACUCACCUAAAAACUUAUAUAUACAACCCCAACUGAAGACACCAAACUUACAACUCAUACCCUAACCGAAAUCGACACCCCUCAUUCCAACAUCCAACCGAAGUCCAUCAAACCCUAAAUCAUACAUUCAGCCGUGAAUCAAUCCCCGACACAUACCCAAGCCAAACAACCCCAAACCCCACAACCAUCCUACCUUAAACACUCCAACCGUAAACCAUAACUCUAUAAACCAAUCCCUUAAACACCAAAAAAAUCCACCAACCCUAAAUACCUUAUCAAGUCGAGACAAUAUAUAACCCAUACACAAACCCUAGCCUAUUUAAACCUCCAAACCAAACCUAAAUCCUACCAAAAACCCCAACUUUUCAUACCAAACUGAAUUCACACAUUAAUAAGUCUAAUAUCAAGCUAAAACAAUCCUAAUUCUAAGGCAACUCUCAGGAGGUUGUCAUCAUUAAGUGAGUAAGGCAACAACACUCGUGUCCAUGCCGCAUCUUGACUUAAUUGAUAAGUUUUUUUUAAUAAAUUAAUUUCGCUUAGCUACUCAAAAUGAGUGAGACAAUAGUACUCGUGUUCGCACCACAUCUCGACUUAAAAAGAUAAGUUUUGUUAAUUACCUAUUUACCAACUUCAAGUGAGUGAGAUAACAUCACUCGUGUCUACACCAUAACUCGACUUAAAGAAAUAAAUUUUUAAAAUUAAUUAAGUUCACUUACCUACUUCAAAUGGGUGAAACAGUAGCGCUCGUGCCAACAUCACAACUUUAGUAAUUAUCAGCACACUCACUUCAAGUGAGUGAGGCAGAAGCGCUUGUGUCCGCAUCACAACUUUCUACAUAGUUUUUUAAUUAAAUAAUUAAUAGAAAUUUUUACAAUUCAAUUAUAAUAAAAAAUUGCAUAAAAAGCAACCUUAUACAUAAUUGCCGAAUAUACAAAUAUUAUUACUAUUUCAAUUAACAAUUAUUAAAAGUAAACAUGAACUUUUAUUAUUAAUUAUCAUUAGCAAAGAUGAUAAGUUAAUAAUUCAUACUAUAAAAGUAUAUAUCUCCUAUUUUAGUUGUUGUUUAUUUAAUUAUCACUGUUAUUUUUUAUUAAUUAAGAAACAAAAAUAGAAAGAAGAAAAAAUGCAACGUCCAAAAAGACAAAGAUGACUAUUGGCCAUAUUCGACUUUUUUUAGCUUGUGGCCGAAACCCAAGGGAAUUAUGUGCAGUGAAUACGAGGCACAGAAAGAAGGAAAAGCUGUUGUGCUUUGAUUAUGGAUCAUCUCCUACCCUAACAAAUAUCAAUGAUAUGUAACAUUUAAAUUUUUUUAACGGUAUAAAAUAUAACUUUUUUAAAUUAAUUUUUUUAACUGUAUAAAUUUUAAAUUAUUUUAAAUUAAUUUUUUUAUAUUAUUAAGUUAAAUUGGAUCUCAUCUGAAUUUUCAUUAUUAGAGAGGAUCUCAUCCCAUUAUGAACUAUUACUAACACAAAACUCAUCUUCUUUUUUCCUAUUUUGGGAAUGAAUUUUUGACAUGAUCAAUCUCCUAUUUAUAAUCAAACUCACACAUGUUAAAAAUAAUGUGGUAUCCUUCAAUUAAUUGACCCAUUAAAAAUGUUUCAUUUUUUAAAAAUUUGAAAAUGAAACCGGAUAAUUAAUGGCUAAAAUUGGAUUAUUCAAACUCAGUAUAAAACAAGUUUCAGGAUAAAAAAAAAUGUUUCUUGGGAUGAAAAAUAACCUAAUAAAGUUAAAACCCCAAAAAUUAUAGUACUAACCACAAUUGAGUAAAAAAAUAAUUAUUUAACCUAAUGGGAAAUUGACUUAAUUUUGCUUUUCAGAUGUUGCAUGUUAAAAUAUAUGGUAAUGUAGGAAAUAUAAUGUUUAAAUUUUUUAUUUAUUUAUUUAUGCAUGAAUGAACAAGUGGAUGAACGCUAAAUGAUAUUUUUUGUUUUUGUUUUGAUUAAUUGAAUAUAUGAAUGUUUGAGUGUUUUAAUGAUUUUUAAUUUUAUUUUUUUAAAUAAAUGCAUAUAUGAAUAGAUGCAUUAGUGAUAUGGAUGAACAUGAUAUGUAAUGACAUGAAUGCAUUUUGCACAUCCGUAGGGUCAUAAAUCUAUUUCAAGGAAAUAUAACCAUAAUUAUAAUCUAAUAAAAUGUUAUGAUGAAUUUGACAUCUAUUAUACUUUGAAUGUCAAUUUAGAACUAAAUAGUGUAACUUUGAGGUUUUUAACAUGACAAAAAUUUACCUCGAGUGCAUUGAGCCCAUAGACUUUUAUAUGACAACUAGAGUUCAAUUGAUUACUUCACCUAAUUAAAGAUCCUAUGACAUGAAUUGGAUGACUUUAGACCUCUCCCUAAGUGCACAAGUGAUGUUAAAUGCACUUGUGAUGCAUUAGUGAGUGUGAAGAAGUAUAGAACAAAGGAUAAAGUGAUAAGAUUCUUAGAAAGCUUGAAUGAUGCAUACACUAUUGUGAGGUCACAGAUAAUGUUCAUUGAGCUAUUACCGAACACGAGUAGAGUGUUUUAUUUGGUGAUUCAAUAAGGAGACAACUAUAUUGCAAUGCGAUAUAGGUAAGACAUUAACAAAUGGAGCUAAUUGGAGAAGGGGAUGAUUCUCAGGAAGGAAUUCAAGCAAUAGGAGAGGAGGUCCAAUUAUUUUUGGCAGAGGACAAUCAACUUGGAAUAAUAUGGGAUACAAAGGAUCCAACCAUCAGCAAAUUUUGUACUCGGAGCAAGAAGAGUGGUCAUAGAGGGGAACUUUUUAUAGACUACGUGGAUUUCCUGUAAACAAACUAACUGUGCAGUGGUUAAUGAUUCCCAUGUAGAAAGUGGCCAUCUAAAUCAACAAGAAAUCUACCACUACAAGGAAGAAGAAGGCAAUUUAUUUGGUUUAACCAAACAAUAAUAACAAUUAUUGAUGAAUCUUCUUAAACAAUCUAAUUCAAAUCCAGAGCCAAGAUGGCAGAAGGAAGAACUUGGAUCUUAUGCACUACAUCUAUUGUAAAAAAUGCAUAAAUUGAAGGUUAUCAUGAUCCAAAAUGUGAAUGUAUCAUGAAUUUUAGAUAGUGGUGUCGCUGAUAAUUUAUUUCUUCUUUAUCCAUAUUCUCCUCAUACCACAAAAUAAAACCUAUUAGAGUAAAACUCCCAAAUAAGAUUGAAUUAAUCACACAAAUUUUAGUAACCAUCCCCUCACACAACCACUAACCAUAUACAAUAUGUUAUCCAUUACUAAGCUUACCUAUGUUUCCUCUUUUGUUCUAUCCUUUGAUACAUCUUUCAAGAUUGAGGAGAAGGAUACUUUGAGAUGAUUGGUGGAGGUAGGCUUUACAAUAUCCUAUGUUCUCAUGAAAAUCAAAGUUGAGUCCUUAAACUAUUGCAAGGCUUUAUAGCUAUGGCUGAUACUCAAUUUUCUAGCAAAGUCAAGGUAGUUAGUGUUAAAUGCUAAAUUGGUCAUAUUUUAUAUAAUUUUUAUGACACUUUAACUACUUAAUCAACUCAAAUGACUGAAAUUAUAUUAAUACAUGAUUAAAACUUGUUUAAAUAUUCAAGUCUCACCUCUUUAGUGUUUUCUAAGCUUAAUCCGGAUGAAUUAUGGCAAAAAGAUAAGUGCUAAAUAAAAACAAGAAUUCAGCCAUGACAUGUCAGAAUAAAAUCAAAAUAACACAUUCGUUCACCGUCAAAUCGAGCUGAAACUUUGAUAUGUUGUUCUUAAUUGAUGGAGCUUCAAUGUGAAUGGUCGGAUUGUCGAAAUGAUCAAAUAUAGCUGCACCAAGCACUGAUUUCCACGCCUAGUGAAAACAUCAUUGAAAGUUAGCAUUUUGCCACUUUUUCAUAUGCGUUUAGUGCACCCACUUGCGCUAAGCGUGGUGGGUGGUGUGCUGAGCGUACGGAGGUGCACCCAAUGCAAGUGGAUGCGUUGGAAGGUCACCAUAGGCCAAAGGAGGUGCGCUAAGCGCAUAGGAUAGCACUAGAACACUAUUUAAGGACUUCUAACUCAAACCAGAGGAUAUACACUUCGUAAUAAUUUGUAAUAAUUCUUUUUUGAGUUUCUAAGGUAGUUUAGCUCAUUUUAAUCAUGAAAUCGAGGUGUAAGUAUUAGAGAAGUUAAUGUUUUCUCUAUCCUACUUACACCUUGUGAACAUGAGUAGUUAAAACCAUUGUCGGGAUUGAAUGUAACAUGAGUUUGAUGUAUAAACACUGAUUCACCAUUUAUUCAUGAAGUUCUGAUUAUAUUUUAGUUGUGUAUUUACUUUAUACUUGCUUUAAGUUUGAUCAUCUUAUUGCAUGAUAUUAGAAUAAGUUGCUGUGGUUCUUUCUUGCAUUAUUUUGUACUUGUAUAAUUCAAUAAGUAGUACAUUUGCUAGACAUAGACGUGUAUUAUUUGUCAUUUCAUACACUUCUCUUUUUGGUAUGUAGAUAUAGAAAUAAUAUUGUGAUUUUAUAACUCUCAAACUGAAUAACAUGUGUUACUAGACAUAGAGAUGUGUUUGAGGGUUCAUAAAAUUGAAUUUUAUUAUUGUAGCUACUAGACAUAAAUCUACUUUAGGUGAAGUGCUAUUAUAGACCAAGACAUCGACGGCCAGCACUAGCACAAUUGAGGUGUUGCAUUUUUACUCAACUUACAUGGUUGUAUCACUAGACAUAGCAGCAUGAUUUUGUAAGUCAUAUUGCUUAUUAUUAUGUAUCAAAGUCACUAGGCAUUGGGCUUUCUUGCAUAAGUUGCUAAAUUGACUAAGACAUUAACUUUUAGUAAUUUUGAGGUCAUUUUAUGGAAUAAUCAUUACAUAAUGAAUUGCCUUAAGAAUCAGGUAUGCAAAGAUAGUAAGUGUGAAGUUCAAUCCCAAUUCUCUUUAUCAUUAUAAUUUUGAUUUACUUGUGUCAUCAAACAAACAAACCCUUUGAAUCAUAACUUAAAAUAAUAUUUUUUUGUUGAAAGGCUAGUAUCUAACAAGUCCUUGUGGAUACGAUAACCCCUUACUCUAUACUUGCUUGUGACACCAAGGUAAUAUUUAUAUUCCUAUUUUCCGGUUAGCAAUUAGGAGCAAUAAUAAACAAAAAUUAUCUAUGAUGUCAUUUUACUCAAGUAGAGAGAUAAUACAUCAAACUUCUUGUGUCUACACUCCCAAAUAGAAUGGAGUAGCAAAAAGAAAACACCAAAAUUUAGUAAGGACUCUUUUGAUCCAUAGCCAAUGCCCAAGAUUUAUUGGUCUUAUGAUGAGAAACAUAUUGUCCAUUAAUGUGUUACCUACACCCAUCUUAGAAGGAAAAUCACCUUAACAAAUGCUCCACCUUAGGAAGCCUCAUUUAUAAUACUUUAGGGUUUUCAAAUGUUUAUGUUACAUAUGUUAACUUAUCAAUAAUGAACAGAACCAAACUUGACUUAGGAGCAAACAAGUACUUGUCCCUAGGCUAUAAGAAAGGUAUCAAGGGAUAUAUAGUGCUCAAUUUGAUCACUAGAGAAUUAGUGUUCAACAUAAAAUAGUUUUCUAUAAGUUCAUCUCUCCCUAUAGAAAACUAAGCUGGAUUCCUUUUCACCACAACUCAAAUCGCCCAAAUUUAUUAGACAUUGAUCCUACAGAAAAUACCUCAACUCUAUAUGAUGACAUGUUCAUUACUAGAACCUCUAUAAACUUAUAAGACAACAUACUCAAUCCCCUUCGCCCAACUUAGAUGAAUUACCAAAUGCCAAUCCAUCAUGUACAACACAAAAACAAAAAUCAUCUCAUAUACCUAGAAGAAGUGGUAGAGUCACAAAACCUCUUAUCACUCUUACAAGAUUAUCACUAUGAUUUAAUUCACAAUAUUAAUUGUGUUGAAUCUAAUACCACAACUUCCUAUCAAAUCUUUUCUUAGUUAUCCUAUGACUCCCUCUCCUCACCACAAAAGAAAACAAAUUUAUCCAUCUUUAGACAUAUUGAACUCAAAUCAUACACACAAGUCAUACAACACAAUCACCAGAAAAAUGUUAUUCAAAAUGUACUACAAACCCUUUCUCAAAAUAAUACUUUGAUGCUAACUACCCUACCUAAAGACAAAUUAACUAUUGGAUGUAAGUGAAUCUUCAAAAUAACACACAAGGAAUAUGAUAACAUAGAAAUAUAUAUGGCUAAGUUAGCGGUGAAAGGAUAUACACAAAUAGAAGGGAUAAAUUACUUGGAUUCAUUUUCAACAAUUGUCAAUAUAACCACUAUGAGGUUGUUAAUUGCUCUAUUAUCAAUUGAUAAAUGGUUUAUAAAACAAUUAGAUUUGAACAAAGUCUUUCUCCGUGGAGACCUAAUAGAUGAAGUAUAUGACUCUGUCUCCGGGAUUAGUUUCAAAUGGAGUUAACCAAAUAUGCAUACUUCAGAUAUCUCUUUAUAGACUUAAACAAACUAGUAGGCAAUAGUUUUCCAAAUUAUCCACCUUCUUAAUCAAAAGUGGAUAUGAGAAAUCCAAGAGUGAUCAUUCUUGAUCAUCAAGUAUUCAUCCAUUGGUUCUAUCACUAUUGUUCCGGUCUAUAUGGAUGACAUUAUCUUAACUCACAACGAUCUAAGUGAGAUUAAUGAACUCAAAACAAGAUUGGACAAUGCUUUCCCGAUCAAGUAUCUUGGUGAUCUGAAGUACUUCUUAGGAUUCAAGAUAUCUAAGGAAUAAAGAAGGGCUCUCAAUGAACCAAAGAAAGCAUACCUUGGAGAUAAUAUCAGAUGUAGGACUUCUGGCUUGCAAACUUUAUCCUACUCCUAUGCUUGCUCGAACUCACCUAAGUCAAAUUCCAGUGAGCCUUAUGCUGAUCCAAUUGCCUAUAGCAGGUUAGUAGAAAGAUUGGUUUAUCUCACCAAUAUUAGACCUGAUCUUGUCUUUUUUGUCUAUCAUCUUGCUCAAUUAUGUCCACUUCCACCUAUAAUCACCAUGAUGCAACCCUUAGAAUGAUCAAAUAUAUCAAAGGAAUGCCUACACUUGCUCUUUUGUUUUCCUUAAAAUAUUCAACAUCAGUCACUACCAAUAGUGAUAAUGGUUGGGCUUAUUGCCUAGAUACAAAGAGAUCUAUCACAAGUUAUUGUAUCUAUCUAGGGAGUUCGUUGAUUACAUAAAAAUCUAAGAAAAAAUUGUCUAAGGGUGUUCCUGUGAGGCAAAAUAUAGAACUACGACUAUUACAACUUGUGAGAUCAAGUGGAUCACCUAUUUACACAAAGACUUGUAGAACCUACGUUUUUCAUCAACAAUUUGAUAUUGUGACAACCAAUCUACCAUUCACAUUGAUUAUAAUUCUGUCUUUCAUGAAAUGACGAAACAUGUAGAGUUGGAUUGUCAUACACUAAGAGAAGAAUGAUUUAAUGGGUUGGUCAAAAUUCUCCACGUCUCAUCUCAAGUUCAAUUUGCAGAUAUAAUCAUAAAAUCAUUAAGUUCCAAUGAUUAUGCUUCAAUCCAUCUAAAGUUGGGACUCCGGAAUAUCCGUGCCCCAACUUAUAGGGGUAGUAGACAAAGAAAAUAUAGGAAAACUUGAAACAAAGCAUUCAUAAUAUUUUUCUAUAUAUUAGUUUUCAAAAUACUAAUCAAAUUAUUGCUUGUGUAUACUCAUCACAUUACUAUAAGGUUAUAUUUUAAUUCCUCAUAUUUUAUGGUAUAUUAUUAGUUUUUGAUAUGUAUUUCAUUUUAUUCUUGAUAUUUCAAAAUUUGUAUCAAUUGUGAUCUUUAGUUUUUGGUGUGUUAAAUUUCUAGGUAAUAUUCUAAAAGUAUCAUCUCUAGCAUUUUUUAUUGUUCGUCCAUUUCAUAUUAUUAAUUCUAUUGGUAUGUAUUCAUUCAUGAAAAUAUACUUUAACACUUCUACUCCUUGAAUGUAUAUUUUGGUAUUUCAUCCUUAAAUAGUUCUUUUUAAAUUUAAUAUUCUAUUAAUGCCUUAUUUAAUAACAUAAUUCUUAAUGAUCCUUAGCUUAUUGUUGAUUUCAUUGGAUAUUUUUCUGUAUUACUACAAUUUUUCUUCCUUUUUAAUUAAUUAAUUUUCAUACUCUAUCCAAAUAACCUAUUUGUUUUAAGCAUGUAGAUUUGAGAUUUUAAAUAUUUAUAUACUCUGCUUAUUUUAUUGAACAUUCAUACUUAAUAUAACAAAGAUGCUUAAUACCAGAUGAGGAGAACUAAUUCUUGAAAAGACAUGCUUUAAUUGAGUUCAUAAAUAAAAAAUUAUUUAUUAGUCACAUGUCAAGAUGUAUACCAUAGACUACAUUUUAGACGGAACCUUGCCUUAUUUCAUGUGGAGGACUUGUUUCUAGUGCAAAAUCGUGCAUUGGUGCACGAACCUUCUCCUUUCUGUCUAUUACACAAAGCCGUCAUUUUAGAUAUGAAAGUAUUAUUUUUAACCUACGUUCUCAAAGAUCCUGAUUGCAAGUAUUAUUCUGAACCUACCAUCUCCACGAUCAAGUGAGUAUAAUUUUCAAUGAAGCAUGUUCAGGCUCAAACAAUUAUUUAACACCUCUAUAGGCAUGACCAAUAUUCUUUGAUAAAUGAGUCUCUCCAAACUCAUAGUUUUCUAGAGUUUUAUUAACAAAGUCUCUAAAUAUUUGUUGUAUGUGUAUUCUUUAUUUAGCCUCUUCAACCAAUAUCAAGUUAUUCUAUACAUUAGCCUCUAUAUACUAAGUGUGAGUAUUAUUUGUUUUAGCCUUUGCAAGCUUCCCAUAAACAAGUAUGAUGAGAACUAGUAUAACUAUUACUAGUUUACAAUCAAAUUCAAUUCUUCCAUACAUAUUGUGCAGUAUGAUUUAUUAUUAAGCCUAAGGAACAUUUGGAAAUAAAAAACUUUAACUUAAUAGAGGAUAAAAAAUGUAACUCAUGAUGAAAAUGUUUUCUAUAUACUAACUCAUUUCAAACUUGUUGAACUAAUUUUGUAGUUUACACUUUAUCUUUCAAAUGCAAUUGUUCUUUCUUCAAAUGAAGAUGUUCAUUCUUCAAGAAAGUAAAUUUGUUCAGCGGAAUGAAGACUAAAUUAUUUGAAAGACUUUGAUAUUUAUAGUCCUUAAAUAACCAUUGGCAUCUAUGAUAUCCGUCCAUUAUAGUAAUGAAGUCGUUCGUUGAUCUCUCACAUGCUUGAGUGCUGAUUUACCUUUUGUGUAUUGUUCUCCUCAAAAUUGUAAACUUGUUUUUCUGCAUAUUCUAUAGCAUUUUUCCAUUUCCGCUGUAAUCCUUUUGUCCUGGAAAAAAGCACUUCAGUUAUUACACGUAAGUGGAAAAUAUGAUUUCUUAAUUGAGAUAUGACUUUCUAACGAUCAGGUAUUUGUGUAAAAGAUGAUACAUGAGAAUAUCAACUUGAAAGGAACAACUCUGAAUAUAGUUGUUUGCUCCAACUCCCACAAAGAAGUCCUUGUGCAUUCUACAUGCCUCUUUAAAGAUGAAUGGGGGUUACACUGACAACAUGAGGCAUACACUUCAAGUGACGCUUCACAAAAAGAUGGAGAUUCUCAACAGAUAUGUUGAGUUUUAUUACUUUGAAGCACAACUCUCACUAAUGGUAGAUAGGCUAGUCAACUCUUUACCUUUCUUCAGAACACCACCAAAUAAAAUUUUAUAAUUUUACAUAUAAUAAUUAAGUUUGGUGCCUUCCAGAUUUUGAGAACAAACGUUCAAGUUCUGAUUGACGAGUCUCAAAUUCAACCCCCUCCCCUGCCCUCCUCUGCCCUCCCCAUGUUGGGUUCCCUCCUUAGUUGAUGGGAUAUCAUAACCAUUAAAUCUUGCUAGAUGUUCCAAUGAAUGUACUCAAUAAUGGACUUUCCAAAGUUUUGAAAUUAUUCAUUGACUCUUGAAGACAUAUGAACUUCAAUCUAGUAAGUUGAAGUAGCAUUUACAAGGUAUCUUGACAUCCGCUGUCUCACUUUUUGUAUCACUCUAUGUACAAUUAAUUCUGAUUGAUUGAAAAAAAAAUGUAAGUUAAAAUUAUAAUUAUUAAAUAUUUUUCUGGUCAAUCAUACGUCCUGACACAUAGAGUGACACAAAGCUGUGGGACGACAGAUGUGCUCCCCUUGGUCCCAUGGUUGGAAACUUAUCAAUUUGAGGAGGUUUUUCAACAUAAGAAUUCUAGGCGUCAUUUGUCCAUUUUUGCUCUAUUUUAUUUAUUCGCUUGUUUCCUUUUUAAGUGACCAUUUCGCAUCAAAAUGAGAUGUAAAUUGGUUCUAAAUUUUCCAGCGCCCUAAAGCUUCUUUGAUGUGAACCUCUUGGGUAAAAGGCUCUUGAAACGAUCUAUCUUGGUUGGUGUAUGGCCUAGGCUCACGGUUGAGUAGAGCCCUUGGGAUUAAGCAGCGGAAAUGAAUUGUAUUUGGAUAAUAGAAGUUGGAAAAUAUUUGAGGUGGAGGCGCCACAACACUUGAGGUGUUGAUAAGCCAAAGUGAUGCUCGCCACAAGAACUUGGUUCUUGAUAAGAACUUCUAAUUUUGGUUCAGUCAAGAAGGUUUAGAGAAUACUCUCACAAGGAUAUAAUCCUUUUUGAUUCACAAAGGAAUUCAAUAUAGGCAAGCCUCUAAGGCUCCCACUGUUUGUAGCUAAGACUCAUGCUUAGCAAGUUUACAUUGGAUGCUCUAAAACCAAAUGAAUCUACUCCUAAAUUACACUAUAUUCGAGUAGUAAAGGAAAUUGCACAUGUGUUUCGUGUGCUUUAUUACAAUUGAAAACAAACUUAAUGACAUGACCUAAGGUGCUUGAUUGCCACGGUUGGAUAGUGAUGAACAUAGGAUUCCUUUUCUCCUUAAGUGCACGACUCAACCAUUAAGUGAUAUGAUCAAGAGACUUGAAGACUCCUUAAUGCUCACGACUAAGCUUUGAUGAGCUUCAUUGGAUUCUCCUAAUUUGGCACAUGGGAAUUGUUGGAAUUAAGCCUUCUUAAUGCUCCUCGGGUACACUUGGACUUGGCAUAGGAUUCCUUUGCUAAGGAAUGAAUUUCCCAUGGCUAAGUGUUGAUUAAGGAUGCACUAAAUAGCAUAGGAUGUCGUUGGUGCAAGAUGGUAGGCUGCCAACGGCUAAGACAUGUGCAUAAAGCACCAUUGAUGCACCAUUAAGGUCUCAAACGACCAUAUGCAAAUUCCAGACGAGCAACUUUGCUCCAACAGCUCUGAAAUUAACUUAGGAUUCCUCUGAAUGAAUUGUGCCCAGGUGGAUUUAGCUCCAAUGGUCCAAACAUAGUGUUUAAGCCUCAUAAAUGCUCCAUUAAGCUCCUCCACGAUCACUUUGUGAUUCCCUUCGAGCAAUCUCCCUCUAACGGCUACAAUAGUCUUUAUUUACCUACCAAAUAAUAUUAGACAAGUUAGAAUGAGUUUGGUUCACGAAAAUUAUAAGUUGGUCCAAGCAUUAAAGUGUCANNNNNNNNNNNNNNNNNNNNNNNNNNNNNNNNNNNNNNNNNNNNNNNNNNNNNNNNNNNNNNNNNNNNNNNNNNNNNNNNNNNNNNNNNNNNNNNNNNNNGUCAAUUUUUAUGGGCAGAUUUAUUACAAACAUUCUUAAAUUAAUUAAACUAAGUGUUGGACAAAAGUUAGCCCACACAUUUAUUGUAAUAUUUAAAUUUUCUCAAUACUAAUUAAAUUGGCUAGGUUUGACUCAGUCAGGCUACACCCAGUGCCUGAUGCGGCACGCUAGGCGCAUGCGCCUCGGUCAGAUUUCCUGGCCAUGCCAGUUUGGCCCAGCGCCUGGUGCAACACUGGGUGUACCAAAGUCCCCAACUCGGUCAGGAAUUGAGCCUGAUGCGUCUGGCUCCAUGCUAGGGCCAUUUUUGGUGCCUUGGUCAGACCUGUGGCCUGACUCAUGCGCAUGGCCUGUUCCAUCCUUGGCUCGGUCAGAACCAUGGACUAAGAUGCUGGUGAGCAUCUUUAAACCCCCUUGGGCUAUUUUUGGCUCACCAUCAUGGAUCAACAUUAUGAGUUGUCCAAGGGCAUUUUGAGCCCUUUUUGCUCUAGUCAUAGUCAUAGGACCACUUAUGCCUUUAAGACCAUCAAUAUCAAGGUUAGGCUCUUUGAGGUUCAUAUCCCCCCCCCCCCCUUCUUGCAGAUAUUUCGACCUCGAAAUUGUGUCUUCUUCACCUACAUCAAAUGGAAACAAACCAUUAACAUUUUCUGAAUCAUUAUUAGAUAAAUACUUCCCUUGCCUUCAUAUGCUUUUUGCUUUGGUACAAUCUUUAGUAAAUUCUACUUGAUUGACUAAGCCAUCCAUGAGUCCAACCUGAAGACAAGUGAUCAUUGUCUUGGCUUCCCAUCCGUCAUCAACUUCUUUGAUGAUUCCAAGCUCCUGAAAAAUUCUAGAAAUAUUUUUGGGUAAAACAAAGUUAGUUGUGAACAUAAAUAGAGGUGUAGUGAGUUGUUUGGUUAGAACAACUCUUUGAUCUUCCACUUUAUCCAUAAGAUAUAGUGGCUUUUUCUCUUUCUGUAUCUUCUCACUUUCUUUUGUUUUUCUCUCAUUUUCUUUUUUUUCUAGUGCUAUUUUUAUUUUCAAGAUAUGCUUGUCCUCUAGUACUUGCUUAGAGGUUAAUGGAGAAAGUAUCACCCUCCUUUUGUUGUGUAUCAGUGUAUACUUUUUUGUUCUUCCAUCAUGUGUUGCCUUUUUGUCAUACUGCCAUGGACGGCCUAGUAACAAAUGAUUAGCCUCCAUAUCCACCACAUCACAUAGAACCGAAUCCUCAUAGUUCCCAAUAGUGAAAGGAACUUCAACUUGUUUAUCAACAACCAUUUCUCCUUCCUCACUCAACCAUUGCAACCGGUAUGGAGUGGGAUGUGUCUUAGUUUCAAGGUUUAGUUUUGACACUAGCCUUGUACUAGCCACAUUGGUGCAACUUCCACUAUCAAUUAUCAAACAACAAACCUUACCACCAACUAGACAUCUUGUGUGGAAGAUGUUUCCUCUUUGGUCAGCUUCUUGGUCUUUGAUUUGGCUUCCUAAUAGCCUCCUCACCACAAGCAAGUCACCUUCAGGAACAUUAGCAUCAUCCUGCUCAUGACCACCCUCUUCAUCACUUGAGGCUUUGGAUUGAGAUUCUAUCUCUCCAUUAGUCAUGAUCAUUGUCUUCCUUGUAGGGCAUUGAGAAGCAAUGUGCCCAAGGCCUAAGCACUUGAAACACUUGACAUCUCUACUCCUUUGACUUGGGACCACGGCUAGUUUACCUUGGCUUGUAGUCAUGGCUCCUUUGGUGCUAGGUGUAGCUUCCUUUGUUGGACUCUCCUUCUUGAGUUUGUCCACCCACCUUGAUGAUUGAUACUUGGAACUAGAACUAGAAGAGAAUUUAGACUUUUUUCGACUCAAUUGCUCCUUUACCUUCAUUGCUUGUUGCACAAGAUCAUCCAACUCAACAUAGUGUUGUAAUUCAACAAUGUCUUGGAUGUCUUGAUUCAACCCAUGUAAGAACCUUGCCAUAGUGGCUUCUCGGUCUUCAUGGAAAUUUGAUCUCAACAAGGCUAAUUNNNNNNNNNNNNNNNNNNNNNNNNNNNNNNNNNNNNNNNNNNNNNNNNNNNNNNNNNNNNNNNNNNNNNNNNNNNNNNNNNNNNNNNNNNNNNNNNNNNNUCAAGGUAAACCUCUGGAUCAUUUUUGCCAAUAAAGGUUGGAACCUUUAUCUUGACCCCUUCUACUUUGUUAGCUUCUCUUCUUCUCCCUCUCAUUGCUUCCCUCCUUUGUCUACCCCUGCUUCUCUCAUCAUCCGAGUCACUUGAAUAUCCAUAGGCUCGGUUCUCAAGCCUUCUAUCAUAUUCCAAUUUCAUUUGCUCCAUUUGCCUUUGGAGUGUUUGGAAUUGUGUGGUAAUAAUGUCGUGUAGGGUUGCGGUCCUUGGGGACAAUGGAGAACUAUCACUCUCGUGAUUAGAAAUUUCACUCAAACUCACGUGUAUCUCUCACUUUUUGUUUAUGGAAAAUGUAGGGAAUUGUGUAUCACUCAACACUCUAUCCUUCACGGCCUUCUUAAGUAAACCAAGUUUUGAACCAAGAAUUUUGUGAAAGAAAAUCACUCCAACUUCUCAUGAAAUAAAAUCACUCCAACUUCUCAAAAUUGGAACGUUGUGACUUGAGUUACACCUCAAAGAAGAAUUUGUCACUUUUUGUUUAGACUCUUUUCGGAUUCUUUGAACUUUUGAAGAAUCACUUUGACACUUUUUGACACUUUUGAUUUUUUGGACUUUGACUCUUUUUGAUUUUUGGACUUUGACUCUUUUUGACACUUUUUGAUUUUUGAAUUUAGACUUUGACACUUUUUAAAGAUAAAGAUAAAUAAAGAUAGAUAUAUUCACGGCCAAAAGAAGAUUAGUGAACACCAAGCAAGAGACUAGCUCUGAUGCCACUUGAUGUGAACCUCUUGGGUAAAAGGCUCUUGAAACGAUCUAUCUUGGUUGGUGUAUGGCCUAGGCUCACAGUUGAGUAGAACCCUUGAGAUUAAGUAGUGGAGACGAAUUGUAUUUGGAUAAAAGAAGAUGGAAAAUAUUUGAGGUGGAGGCGCCACAACACUUGAGGUGUUGAUAAGCCAAAAUGAUGCUCGCCACAAGAACUUCCAAUCUUGGUUCAGCCAAGAAGGUUUGGAGAAUACUCUCACAAGGAUAUAAUCCUUUUUGAUUCACAAAGGCAUUCAAUUUACUUUCAACUCAAUGUGUUUAUUUCAUAGCAAGAAGUAUUACAUUUAUAGGGAAGCCUCUAAGGCUCCCACGGUUUCUCAUGCUUAGCAAGUUUACAUUGGAUGCUCUAAAACCAAAUGAAUCUACUCUUAAAUUAGACUAUAUUUGAGUAAUAAAGGAAAUAGCACAUGUGUUUCGUGUGCUUUAUUACGAUUGAAAACAAACUUAAUGACAUGGCCUAAGGUGCUUGAUUGCCACAGUUGGAUAGUGAUGAACAUUGGAUUCCUUUUCUCCUUAAGUGCACGACUCAACCAUUAAGUGAUAUGAUCAAGAGACUUGAAGAUUCCUUAAUGCUCACGGCUAAGCUUUGAUGAGCUCCAUUGGAUUCUUCUAAUUUGGCACAUGGAAAUUGUUGGAGUUAAGUUCCUCGGGCACACUUGGACUUGGCAUAGGAUUCCUUUGAUAAGGAAUGAAUUUCCCACGGCUAAGUGUUGAUUAAGGAUGCACUAAAUAGAAUAGGAUGCCGUUGGUGCAAGAUGGUAGGCUGCCAAUGGCUAGGACAUGUGCAUAAAGCACAAUUAAUGCACCAUUAAGGUCUCAAACGACCAUAUGCAAAUUCCACACGAGCAACUUUGCUCCAACAUCUAAUCCGUGAAUGGUAGUGGAAAAUGAUCCUUCCCCUAUGACUUUGUUGAGCCUUUUGUAGUCAAUACACAUUCUCCAUCCAAUUACAAUGCGAGUUGAGAUUAGCUCAUUUUUUCAUUAGUUACCACUCUCAUACCACCCUUUUUUGGAACUACCUGGACAAGACUCACCAAAGAACUAUCAUAAAUUGGGUAAACCAUUCGAGUAUUCAACAACUUCAUCACUUUAGUUCUGACUACUUCCUUCAUUGUUGGAUUCAAACGCCUUUGAGGUUGAGAUACUAGUUUGUAUCAUUCUUCCAUAAAAUUUACGUGAAUGCAGUAAGAAAGGCUUAUACCUUUUAAAUCAGCUAUGGUCCAUCCGAUAGCCUCUUGGUUACUUUUCAACACCUCAAUAAGUCUCUCAUCUUGAUGCUCAACCAAAGCACUACUAAUAAUAAGAGGUUUUCCUCCUACACUAUCUAAAAUACAUAUUUCAGAUGAGGAGGAAGAAGUUGCAAGCAUUGGGUUGACCUCCACUAAUGCUUUCUUUGGGUUGACCUCUCUACCAGAAUCCAAGUCUUUCAAGCAUUGAAUGAAUUCCUCUUCUUCUUUGUUAAUGGUCAUGGUGUGAGAAUUUGUAAGAACUUCUUCUAGGAUAGUGGUUGAUCUAAUUAAUUCAUAAUUCACAACAAAUGCAUCAUCACAAAUAUCAAUAGCAAAACACUGCUCAUCAUCCUGUACUCUAACAUUCAAUUUUCCAUCAUCUAUAUCAAUAAUCACAUUUAUUGUCUUCUUAAAUGGCCUCCCCAAUAUUAGAGGCACCUCAAUAUCUUCACCAAUAUAUAAUAUCACGAAUUCAACGUGAAUAUGAACUUUUCCACAUUUACUAGAACAUCCUCCAUUAUGCCAUGCGGGUAUUUUAUUGAACAAUCCACUAAUUGUAGAGACAUUCUGAUUGGCCUAACCUCUAACUCUUCUAUCUUUUUUGGCAUAGAUAGGGCAUCAGAUUGAUGUUGGCCCUUAGAUCCAAGAGUGUUUUUCCCACCGAGAGAUGCCCAAUGGUGACUGGAAGUGUGAAGCUUCUAGGGUCCUCAUAUCUUUGUGGAAUAAAAUUCUGGAUGAUGGCACUACAACUACCAUCCAGCUCGAUAAUCUCUUCCUCCAAUAACUUACUCUUUUUAGUGAGCAACUCCUUUAUGAAUUUUGUAUAAUUAUGCAUUUGAUCUAGAGCUUCAACAAAUGGGAUGUUGAUCUACAACCUUUUGAAGAUGUCCAUGAACCUUAAAAAUUGCCUCUCCUUACACCUCUUUGUUGGUACUAUAGGAUAUGAGAUGUUCUACUCUUGAUAAUGUUUUACACCACUAUCCAAUCAUGCCUUUUCACUCAUGAUUUUCUCUAUACUCACUUUUUCGUCCUCUAUUUUUUCUUUUCUUUAUUUUCUGAUUUUUCAAAUCUUUGUAUUUUUUCUCCAUCCUCACUUUUACCACUCUUUCAUUUUCUUUUUCUUUUUCAACCACCUCCUUCUCAUCCUCUACAUCAUAACCUACCACCUUACCUCCUCUUGUUGUGAUUUCUUUGUAGUCUUCUUUUGAGUUUAGUUCAAUGUUGGCAUUAAAGGUUAUUCUUUGAUUAUCAGAAAUUUGUUUAGCUAGCUUUCCAAUCUACACCUCCAGAUUUUUUAUGGAUGCAUCUGUAUUUUCUGAUUUUCUAUGCUCAUAUCUAUAUAUUGAUUAUGAGUGUCUUCUAUUUUAGAAGGGUUUUCCUGUUGCUAAUGGUGAUAUUGUUUGUAGGUCAUCUGUCUGUUUGCAUAUGAUCUCCAUGAUUGUUGAUAUGACUUGUUGUUUCCCCUUUGAUAAUUACUAUGGAAUUGUUGAUUUUGUCUUUGUUGAUUUCCCAUGUAUUGCAUCUUCUCCUCAUGUGUGAUUGGAUGGGUACAAUAGUUGGUGGGAUGAUCUCCAAAACAGACUUCGUAUCUUGGGACCUUCUAGUGUGUUGGCUCUUUCAUGCCCAUGAGUUGUUUGGGUAGUUGAGCCAUUUGCUUAGUUUGUGCUUCCAUUUGUUUGUUCAGAGUUUUGUGUUGAGCUAGCAAUGCAUCUUGAUCGCCCAUCUCCAAUAAUCUUUUCUUUGUUGGAUUGACUAUCUCAUGUUGGCCUUGUUGAUCACUUGUUGUCAAUGCUUCAAUGAUUUGUAUGGUUUCUUCAUAGCAUUUUUCACAUCAAUGAACCAGUUGUUGUAGCAUCCAGGAUCAAUUUGUCUUGUUGUUGUAGUCCAUCGCAGAAGAUAUGGAUUUGUGUGAGCUCGUCGAAACCAUGGUUAGGGCACUUCCUUAAUUGUUAUUUAUACCUCUCCCACGUAUCACACAAGGACUCAAUUGCCCAUUGAGUGAAUACUGAAAUAGUUGUGUUGGCCUUCAUGUAUUUUGAUUGAGAGAAGAUUCAGUUCAGGAAUUUCUCCUCUAGUUGACUCCAAUUUGAAAUUGCAUGAAAAGGUUGAUCCAAUAGCGACCCUUUGCCUUUCUGAUCAUGGAGAAGGAGGAUAACCUCAAAAAUAUGGUUUCCUUCUUCUCUUCUGUUCCUCCCACUGUUCCUCACAAUUCAUAGAAAUUAAUUAGAUGAGCAUGUGGAUCUUGAUGAUCAAAUCUUGCGAAUAGGUUGGCAUAGAGAAGUUGAAUAAGUUCUGUCUUCAUCUCUAGUUUUCUAGCGUUCCUUUGUACUCUCCCAUAGUUUUUGAAUUGUUAUCAUCUCCUCAAACCAUUCCAUCCAUGAAUUUUUCUAGUGUCUUUUACUUUUGAAUAAAGGGUAGAGGAAAGUUUUGGUUUUGGAGUCUUCUUUUUGUCUGUUCUGGUUGACCAAUUGUUUCUUCUUAUUUGUUUAACUUUUGUUCAUUCUAGCAGUUUUCUUAAUUUUUGGAUCAUAUACUAGUUGGUCUUCUAGUACUUUUUCUCGCAUAACAGAAGAAACAAUACUACCCAAAACAGAUUAGAUAGUCAUGGCAAAUAAUAAACAUAACAUUAAAAAAAUACCAAAUAAAAUAAAAUUUGAUAAAACAUAAAAUAUCUAGAUGCAAGUCCCCUACAACGAUACAAUUUUGCUCACUGGAAAAUUAGUUGUUAUUUUGUUACAAAAUUGGAUUGUUGCAAACAGGUAGAUGAGAUUGUCUAAUCCACAAGGACAUGCUUGAUAUUAUUUUAAUUAGAAAACUUAUUAAAUUUGGAUUGAAAAAGGUUUUGCUUGAGGGAAAUUAUUAAAAUUAAAUUAAUGCAAAAGUAAUCAAUUUCAAGAUAUUAAGUUGAGAGAUGAAGAACUUGAGAUUAGAUUUUACUAUGUAUCCUCAAGUAUCCAAUAAUGACGUUUAUAUACGACUAUUUCUAUGAUUUUCCUACCACCACUUCUUAUCUAUUUAUCAAUUCCUUUAGUAAACAUACCAAAUUACUAAAUAAAUUAAUUCCCAAUCCUUUGACAAAUUAAUCAUAAUAAUAUGGGUGUUAGAAUGACUAGUUCAAUUAAUCCUAUUCCGAGGUAUCAAUAUGCUACUAGUUGAUAUAUUUUAGAUCUAAUUUAAACACAAAAAUUUCCAUUACUAAUCUCUAAACCUUAGAUCAUGCAUUGGGUGGUCAAACCAAAAUAAGAAUUAAGAAUAAGAAUAACAAAAAAACAAUUGAAUAAUAUUAACAAUUAAAUAGUCAUGACUAUUGAACACAUCGUGUUCAAAUAAUUAUAUCUAACCCUAGAUAGAAGGAUAUAGCUAUUCAUUCCCAUGAAAGCGAUAGCCAUAUGGUUGAUUGACAUUAUUCUUCUUCCCAAGUUCCCUAAAGUUGUUGCUAGUUCAAUCCUAAUAUUUUUUUUAUUGUCAGUGAUGAUAAGUAAUGAUUACAACCCAUUUUACUCUUCACAUUUAUCAUAAUCUUCCAUAGAUUUUUGUCCUUAUCUCCAUGAUACUCAUUAACAUUGGGCGAUUGCGUCUUUAUCUGCAAAGAUUCUGAUUAGAAUUAGAUGAUCGUGCCUUUAUCUUCAAAGAUUGCAAUUAACAUUAUGAUCUCUUUUGAUAACUUUGGCUCCUUUUAGCCUCUAAUUACCCGAAAUAGCAUAAAAGCACAUAUAAUAGGAUUUGAUGCAAAUAUUUGACUCGAUGUAUAUUGUGAGUUACAUUUAUGUAGACUUUUAAGGUUUAAAAAGUAUUCAAUACUUCUUAUUUAAGGUAGUUUUCAUAAACAAUACAUCUUCACGUGUUCAUAAAACUAUACCACUACAAAUUUGCUGGUUCCACUUGAAAGCUUUGUUUUUCGGAUUAGUAGGCAUGAUAUGUGCUUUAAGCAUCUGAUUUUUGGUUCUUUAUGUCUCUCAUUUCUUGUUUUGUACCUUCCAAUGUUACUAGAUUAGUUCAAAGUAGAAAAUUGUGUACCUUCCAAUGUUACUAGAUUAGUUCAAAUUAGGAAUUUUGUACCUUCUAUGAUAAUUUUGCAUACAUCCAAGUAGAAAGGGAGGGAGAGAGAAUUCAAAGGCUGACAUUAGGAAGUAAGAUGUUCAUAUCGAGAUAGACCCAAAAUAGAAAUUGCAAAAACAAUCUGAAAAGCGGGGUUAUUUCAGCAUUAAUUGUUAAUCGAUCAAUCUGGGGUUAUUUCAACAUUAAUUGUUGUUUUCGAAAAGCGGAUACUCUGACCGCUACACCUAUUCAACCCCCCUUCUAGGUGUAUUUUAGCCACUGAUAUCUAACACAUUGGACAAGUCAUAAGGUUGGUCCAUGGUUUUGACUGAGCCAAGGAUGGACCAGGCCAUGCGCAUGAGACAAGCCAUGACCCUGGCCAAGGCGCUAAAUCUAACCCUGGCACGGGAUUAGGUGCAUCAGGCAAUAAGCCUGAUCGAGACAAUUCUGUCUGUGGCAUAGGGGCAGGUGCAUCAGGCACCAAGCCUGACCGAGUUGAGUAUCAUGGCACACCAAGUUCUGAGCUAGUCGCUAGGCCAAUCUGGUCUGGGCAGGAAAUUUGGCCGAGGCACAUGUGCCUAGCUUGCUGCAUCAGGCGCUAGGCAUAGCUUGACCGAGUUAGGCCUAGCCAACAUGUUUGGCAUGGAACAUUUUUAAUUCUGUAAUAAUUGUGUGGGCCAAAUUUUGACCAACACUUAGUUUUAAUUAUUUGAGUGUUUGUUUAGUAAAUCGGCCCAUAAAUAAUGCUUAGUUCGAAAAAUGGUUCGUGGGACUUAAACCAAGCCUAAAAGUGUAAACAACACUUUAAUGCAUGAACCAACUUUUAUUUUUCAUGAACCAAGAGUAUUCUAAACUUUGUGUAAUGUUAUUUGGCAGGUAAAUAAAGGCUAUUGUAGCUGUUGGUGGGGAAAUGAUCGUGGGAAUGAGGAAGGUGAUAGUGGAAGGCUUACAUGAGGCAUUAAUGGUGCCAUAAUACCUUGUCUGGACCGUUGGAGCUUAAUCCACCUGGGCGUAAAUCAUCCAGGAGUAUCGUAAGUCAUUUUCGGAGCUGUUGGAACAAAUUUGCUCGACAUAAUUUGCCAUGGGCUCGUUAGAGACUUUAAAUGUGCAUUAAUGGUGCUUAAUAGCCAUGUUCUAUUCGUUGGAGGCUUGGUCUGUUGGACAACUUCACACCAACGGCACCCCAGGCCUUUUAACUCAUCAUAAUUCACCAUUCUGCCGAGGGAAUUCACUCUUUGGACAAAGAGGAUCUUAUGCCAAGCUUAAGUGCAACUGAGGGCCCUUAUGGAGUCAAUAACUCCAACAUUCUACUAUGUGCUAAAUUGUGAGCCAAGUCUUCAAAGAGUACAAGAAUCCUAUGAAGCUCAUCAAAGCCUUGUCGUGGAGUAUUAUAAGGACAUUAAGUCUCAUUCACCACGUGACUUAAUUUGAUCUCUUGUACUUAAGGAAGAAUGAAAUCCUAAGUUAUUCAAAGUUCAAUUGUGACAACAAUGCCAUCCUAGUCCAACAUCUUAAUGUUUUUACUUCAAUGUAAUAAAGCACACGAAUGACAUGUGCUAUGUUAAGUGUCAACCGAAUGUAGCCUAGUUUAGGAGUAGAUUCAUAUGUCAAAUGGUAUCUUAUGUUGGAUUAUCAUGGCUUAGUCUUUAUUGUCUUUUCUUUUACAAAUCAUGGGAGCCAAGUUGGCUUGCCUAUAAAUGUAAGUCUUUAUUAGUGGAAUAAACAAGUUAAGUUGAAGCAUAAUUCUUUGUGAAUUAAGGAUUAAAUCCUUGUGAGAGUAUUCUCUAAACCUUCUUGGUUGAACCAAGAUUAGAAGUUCUUAUCAAGAACCAAGUUCUUGUGGCGAGCAUCACUUUGGCUUAUCAACAUCUUAAAGUGUUGUGGCGCCUUUCACCUCGAGUCUAUUUCAUCUUCUUUUAUUCUACAAUUAUCAUUCAACUGCCUACUCAUAAAUAAAAGCUCAAUCGAACCGUGAGCUUGACCAAACACUAACCAAAAUAGAUCGUGCAAAGGGCCUUUAUCAAAAGGUUUCACAUCACUUUGUUAUUUAGGCAUGAUAUGUGCAUUAAGCACUUGAAUUUUGGUCAUUUGUGUCUCUCAUUUCUUGUUUUGUACCUUCAAUGUUACUAGCUUAGUUGUUUUGCUUAUUUUCCCGUCUAUACUUACGAAUGGGUAUAAGAUCUUGAUUCAUCUUUUAUUUUCUUAAUUUAUAACAUUCGGAAAAAACUAAUGAUAAAGUACAAAAGGGCCGAGAGAAUUCAAAGGCUGACAUUAGGAAGUAGGGAUGUUCAGAUUGAGACAUGCCUAAAAUAGAAAUCGAAAAAUAGUUCGAAAAGCCGAAACUGCAUAAAACUGAUAUUGAUUAGAUCAUAUAGGACUAGUUUUUAGAAAAUCGAUAAAUUCAGAUCAGUUUUUUAUUCCAAUUUCAGAAAUGAGACCGAAGCAAUAUUAAUUAUAUACAAAAUUGAAUAUUAUUUUAUUUCUAAGUGUAUUUAACAUUUCAAUUGAUAAUAUAAAAUAUAGAUUUUAAUAACUUCUAAUUGUUAAAAGUAUUAUUCCUUAUUAAUUAACACUUUCUUAUUAUUAAAAUUAUAAUUGUAUACUACUGAUGUUGUUUUCCUAGUGUUCUUUUUUUCGUGGUUUUUUUUUUUGAAUUUUUUCAUUGUUUUUAUUUUUAGUUUAAAUGAAUAAUAUUAAUGUUUUAAUAAAAGUGUAUAUAUCACAUUUGAUAUCAGAAAUCUUGGAAUAGACAUGAUGAUUUUUUAUGUUAACUUAACACUUUGAAAAUAUAUUAGACUUCUUAUUUUUAUGUAUCAUUACUAAAACAUGAAGUUUUCUACCAACAAGAUGUUGAUCUAGUGAUGUAAGGUCUUGCUAGAUUCUCAAGAUAAUCAAAAGGUCAAGAGUUCGACUCGUGGGAACGACAAUUGUUAGGAGGGGUGACCACAAACUCAAAAAGAGAUUAGUUCAAUCCAAAAGAAUGAGGAUAUACCCUUGAUAGUAACCAAAAAAUCAUCAAGCUUUCUAGAGUUAGUACUUUUCUCAUUGUUAAAAAUGACUCGUCAAAGGCAGAUCUUUGAAUGAACAUACACAUUUCACUAUUUCAGGAUACUUCCUUUAGCAUGAAUUGAACUUGUCUCUUUUAAAUGGGAGGAAGGUAAAGAACCAAACUCGUCCCAUAGCGUCCAAUUCAUAUUACACGUUUAUAACAAUGAAAAAGAAGUAUUAUAUAUCCUCCCCUAAAAUUGGUUUAUAAAUCAUUCUACAUUAUCAAAAANNNNNNNNNNNNNNNNNNNNNNNNNNNNNNNNNNNNNNNNNNNNNNNNNNNNNNNNNNNNNNNNNNNNNNNNNNNNNNNNNNNNNNNNNNNNNNNNNNNNUAAUAAUAAUAAUAAUGAUGAUAAUGAUGAUAAUAAUAAUAAAAUUGGUUGAUCGCUAUUAAAUUCUUGGGCUGGUUAAUAUAUAUCAAGGCAAGAAUUUAAAUAUGAUUGUAAUAGCUAUUGUUAUUGACUCAAACAUGAUAUUUUCUUUUAGCUUUAGAUUUUAUAUUUUGGUAUUAUUGUUAUAAAGAUUCUAUUUGAAAAUUAUAUUUUAUUACUUUUAGUAUUUUUUUAUAGAAAAUAUUUCUGGCAAAGAACAAUUUCCUAUUGCUUUAUAAUAACUUCAAAUUAGUAUUAAUUUCAUUAUUAUCAACAUUCAAAUUAUGAAUACUGUUUCAUUUACAUUAUAUGUUGUGAAUUCAUUUAAAUUACGUAAUUGUGUAGGAAAUUAAAAUAAAACAAAUUAUUUAAUAUUUGAACAUGGUAGAUUUAAAAUAGAUAUCAAGCACUGAUGUUAGAUUUUAGGAAAAUAGUUGAUUAUUUUUCCACAUGUCAUGGUACUAAUAUAUUAUAUUUAUAUUGAUAGAUAAAAUCAGCUGUACCGAAAAACAUUUUCUUAAGAAACUUGUAAACUCUGUUUCUUUAUACAUACUUUAUGAUAGUUUUCUUUUCUUUCUCUAUAAUAAAAUGUAUAAUUAUUAUGAGAGUGUAAUCUAAAAAUGAAUAAUUGUUUUGUUGAAAAACUGACACUUAGUAAUAAAUGGAGGGAGAAAUUUCAUACAUACAUGGCGGUCUCAAACAGCCCUUGGACUAACUCAAACUUCUUCAUUUAGUACACAUGAUUGCUCCACGUACAUGAUAUGAAUCGUUGAAGAUUCAAGCCUAUUUCCCUAUAUAUAUUGCAAAGCACAUUGAGUCCAUACUUCACCAGCAACCUUCAAAAACAAGAACUCCCCAUUUAUACCAAUUUGCAUAACAUUAAGCCAUCAACAAUGACUACCACCCGUGUAGCUCUCUACCUUACCUUUGCAUUCUUCUUCUAUGGUAAUAU
rnacentral:lncRNA from 1 species